rnacentral:rRNA from 1 species
AAACCGAAAGGUGAGGUAUAUGGGCUGACGCCUGCCCGGUGCUGGAAGGUUAAGAGGAGAGGUUAGCGCAAGCGAAGCUUUGAAUUUAAGCCCCAGUAAACGGCGGCCGUAACUAUAACGGUCCUAAGGUAGCGAAAUUCCUUGUCGGGUAAGUUCCGACCCGCACGAAAGGCGUAAUGAUUUGAGCACUGUCUCGACAAUGCAUCCGGUGAAAUUGAAGUACCAGUGAAGAUGCUGGUUACCUGCGCCAGGACGGAAAGACCCCAUGGAGCUUUACUCCAGCUUGAUACUGGGAUUCGAUACUGUAUGUACAGGAUAGGUGGGAGACGUUGAACAUAGAACGCCAGUUUUAUGUGAGUCGCUGUUGGGAUACCACCCUUGCAGUAUUGGAUUUCUAACCUGCACCCAUGACCUGGGUGGGGGACAAUGUCUGGCGGGGAGUUUGACUGGGGCGGUCGCCUCCGAAAGGGUAUCGGAGGCGCUCAAAGGUUCCCUCAGAAUGGUCGGAAACCAUUCGAAGAGUGCAAAGGCAGAAGGGAGCUUGACUGCGACACCGACGGGUGGAGCAGGUACGAAAGUAGGGCUUAGUGAUCCGGUGGUAUUAAGUGGGAAUGCCAUCGCUCAACGGAUAAAAGCUACCCUGGGGAUAACAGGCUUAUCACUCCCAAGAGUUCACAUCGACGGAGUGGUUUGGCACCUCGAUGUCGGCUCAUCGCAUCCUGGGGCUGUAGCAGGUCCCAAGGGUUGGGCUGUUCGCCCAUUAAAGCGGUACGCGAGCUGGGUUCAGAACGUCGUGAGACAGUUCGGUCCCUAUCCGGCGUGGGCGUAGGAUAUCUGAGAGGAGCUGUCCUUAGUACGAGAGGACCGGGAUGGACGGACCGCUGGUGGACCGGUUGGCUUGCCAAAGCCAUGGCCGGGUAGCCAAGUCCGGAAGGGAUAAACGCUGAAGGCAUCUAAGCGUGAAGCCCCCCUCAAGAUGAGAUAUCCCUCAGAAAUGAGUAAGACCCCUUGAAGACUACGAGGUAGAUAGGAAUGAGGUGUAAGCACAGCAAUGUGUUCAGCUGACAUUUACUAAUCGGUCGAGGGCUUGACCAA